rnacentral:rRNA from 1 species
AUCUAGGCUCUUGCAUCGAUGAAGAACGUAGCGAAAUGCGAUACUUGGUGUGAAUUGCAGAAUCCCGUGAACCAUCGAGUCUUUGAACGCAAGUUGCGCCCGAUGCCAUUAGGUUGAGGGCACGUCUGCCUGGGUGUCACAUAUCGAAGCCUCUUGCCAAUUUC